GAUGAACGCUGGCGGCGUGCCUAAUACAUGCAAGUCGAGCGAACGGACGAGAAGCUUGCUUUUCUGAUGUUAGCGGCGGACGGGUGAGUAACACGUGGAUAACCUACCUAUAAGACUGGGAUAACUUCGGGAAACCGGAGUUAAUACCGGAUAAUAUUUUGAACCGCAUGGUUCAAAAGUGAAUGACGGUCUUGCUGUCACUUAUGGAUGGAUCCGCGCUGCAUUAGCUAGUUGGUAAGGUAACGGCUUACCAAGGCAACGAUGGCUAGCAGACCUGUGAGGGGGAUGCGCGCCACUGGGGCUGAGACACGGUACAGACUCCUACGGGCGGCAGCAGUAGGUAAUCUUCGGAAAUGGGCGAAAGCCUGACGGAGCAACGCCGCGUGAGUGAUGAAGGUCUUCGGAUCGUAAGACUCUGUUCUUAGGGAAGACCAUAUGUGUAAGUAACUGUGCACAGCUUGACGGUACCUAAUAAGAAAGCCACGGCUAACUACGUG
rnacentral:rRNA from 1 species